GCUAGGUGUGGUGGUGCACACCUGCAGUCACAGCUCCUUGGGAGGUUGAGGCGGUAGGAUAACUUGAGCCCAGGAGUUCUGGGCUGUAGUGUGUUAAUGCCAGUUGGGUGUCUGCACUAAGUUCAGCAUCAAUGUGGUGACCUCCCAUGAACAGAAGACUAACAGGUUACCUAGGGAAGGGUGAACUGACCCAGGUUGGAAGUGGAACAGGUCAAAACUCCAGUGCUGAUUAGUAGUGUUCACACCUAUGAAUAGUAGAUAGUAUUCACACCUAUGAAUAGCCACUGCUCUCUAGUCUGGGCAGCAUAAGGAGACCCUGUCUCUU
rnacentral:SRP_RNA from 1 species